CACCACUGCUGCUAUUGGAAAGGUAUGAAAAUUUCUUUUCACUUGAGCCUAAGCUACUUCCAUUUUAACCAGUUCAUAUCUGUAUCUGCAGCAAUAUAAUUGUUGCUUUUAAAUGUAAUGUUAAAAUGCACAUUUAUAUGUGUGUUAUUGUUGUCUUAGUGUGUGGUUUAGCUGAACUUUACAUUGGACCAUACAAUCAAGGCUUCUCUAGAGUUUUGAAUGCUUUUGGAAGUUUAUAAUCUGUUGAAAGGUUAAGUGGCUUUCACAGCAAUGCUAAAGGCAUUUGCACUCUUUCUUACAGAAAUUCUCAUCUUUAUUAUGUUGCUGGCUGAGGCAAAUACAUCUUUUAACAUUCUGUUAUAUUGAUGGCUAAAUAGUUUUAUCCGAACAUUUCUAGAUCUGACAGAUUUUUUUUGGCUGGUGUUUUC
rnacentral:misc_RNA from 1 species